UUACAAGUAUGUGAGCAUUUAUGAUUUGUUGAUGAUACUUGGUGAAUGAUUAAAGUCAAUAUAUGACUAAGGUGAUUUGAGUUAUGGAACUUAAUUUGUUUAAAACAUGUAAUAUGCAGAUGAUGAUAAGUUGAGUGUUAAAAGUAUUAUUUGAAUAUGAGGCUAUGUGCUACAUGAUGCAUGAUAGACUGUUAAAUUUGCUGAGUUGUCGAGCUCAAUCUUGCAAAAAUAAAAUUUUUUGCAGGUACAUGAUUCAAUGCUAUAAUGGUUAACAUCUGGAUGAUAUGGUUAAGAAGACGAGCAAAGGAAUACUGUUUCUUUUAGUUGAAACUUAGAUGAUACUAUGAUAAUAUUGUACAAGAUACAUGUGUUUAAAUUUCUGAGAUAUUCAAUAAAAGUAGAAUAUUUGUUUAAAGUAUGUUGUGAUGAUUUCUUUAUUAAGUGAACAAAAUGUGGUAAUAGUAUUAUACAAGAAAGAUUGUAAUAAGAAUGAGUUUGUAUUUACUUUGAUAAAGGAAUCAUUAAAUGAAAUUAAUUCCGCAAUAUAUGUAAUCGUAAAGGUUGCGAUUUAGGGAAUAAAUGGAAGACAGACAGAAAAGUUUUAAGUUAUCCACAUUUUCAGCUGUUAUUACAGUUAAUUAUGAUGUAAAGCUAAAACAAGGUAGUAUUAACGCACAAGAUCGGGAAGGGAAAUGGUCCCGAUUUUGGGGGCGUUACAAAUUACAUAUAUCUUGGUUACUGUAUAAUAUGUAUUUAGAUACUGUAAGGUGUUUAUUUGGUUACUCUAUAAUGUUAUUGAGUUUAUAAUUGUUUCUUUUAUAUUGGUGGUUACUUAUUGACUACAUUGGUUACCUUCAUACAACUGUUAAUCUGAUUAUAUAUAUUGGAAGUUGUAUACUAUUUAAUUGGUUACAGUAUAAUGAUUAUUUGAUUGCAGUGACAAUUUGGCAAUUUUUAUGAAGUUUGAAGUGUCAGACUUUAGCGUUUUUGUAAGACCCCAACUUAUUAUUUAAUGAAAUUAAAUUUCUUCUAUUUAUUAUCUUGAAAUAGUAAGGGUUGAUUUGAUUAAUGUGGUAAGUUAUGGGUAAAAUGCGCAAUUAUUUCAAACAAGCAAGUGGUUUUAAAAUAUUCAUUGUUAACGGGGAAUAUUCGUUUGGUCGUUGAAUAUUUUUACUGUCGGGGAAUAUUCGUACGACGGCGCAACCUUGUGUGGGCCUCAUAACGGAAAGCGAUUGGAUGAAGAAAACGACAAAAAUAAGUUAUAACGGCGUAGUUGUUACUGUUAAUACUGUUGGAAUACCCGGUGGUUAAAACACAGUAGCACGCGGUAUUACACCAAUUAUUGAUUCUUACGUAAGAAGGCACUACUCAAUAAUUGUUACAGUAAUUACUGUUCAGUAUUUUAUUUUAUUGAUUCAAUAAUUGCUGCGUUGAUAUUUUAUAUUGCUGUUGUUUCAAUAAUUGUCAUUACACAGUAUUUUUCAUUAUCGAAGCAAUAAUUCAUAUUAUCUGAAUAAUAUUAUUAGAUAACAUUAUUGGCAAUGUCUAGAAAGUUCUGUCUAAGGAGAGGUUUGGUCACCUAAUUGCGCGCCAGUAAGGAGAAAUCCUUAUUGGAAAGCCCCCUCUUUCUUGGGAACUGCCUGGUUGUCAGUAAUGUGAUUCUGUAAUAUUAUUUGUGAAUAAUUAAUUAUUGAUUUAUAUGAUGAGGAAAAUAUUGAUUUUAUGCGGAUAUAGAUGGAGAAAAUUUUUUAAUGUGACAAUUGUUGAAAAUUAAUAUUUUAUCUUUUUCUGAUAAAAUAAUUCAUUUAAAUAUAUUAUUUUAAUAAUAUAUUAAUGGUGAUAUUUUUACAAUGAAUGUGAGAUAUAUGAGUAUAUGAGGAGAAAGAGUAUUUUUAUGGCAUUAAAUUAUUAACACAUGUUUUGUGUGUCGGUAGACCCUAAUUCUUGACCGAAAUUUGAUUAUAGCAUGUAAAAUCGCCCAUUUAUGGAUUUCGGUCAAUUUCUGUUUGGAAUUUGGAAAAACUUUCUUCUGCAAAGUUAUAGAGAAUGAAAUUUCCUAUAGAAAGGACAUGUGGUUCGAAUUUUUCUGAUAAAAGAGCUAUUUAUUAUGAAUUAUUGAAGUUCCUUAGUUCCGAAAUAAUUGAUUUUUGAAAGUUUUAAUUAUUUUUAAUUACAAAAACGUUUUUUUUUGCUUGGUGGGUUGCAUUAAACAUGUGCAAGGUGGCUGAAUUCAGAUUCAAGAGGUGGGCUUGAUAAUUUUGUAAAUAUAAUAAUAUUAUAUUAAAUUUUCUUCUUUGGUGUUCUAAGCAUUUUCCUAUAAAUAGGGUGCUUAGGUUAGAAUUGAAAAUCACACCAAAAACUGAAAUCUUCUCUCUUUCUCUCUCGAUAUAUUGAGCGUAUUCUUGUGAGUAUUUUAAUACUUUGAGUGUUUCUAUACGGUGCAAGUUCAAGUCAUAGCCUAUAUCCGGUGUUUCAACUAGAAGUACUAUCUUUUCGAGGUAAGGGGUGUUAUUUUCUUUUUAAAUGAUAUUAUUUUCUUCAAUAUCAUUAUGCCGAAAUAUUGGUUUGAACCUUUAAUCAAAUUUAGAACUUUUUGUGUCGGGGUUAUAUUCACGUAUACGGCACUGUUCACGAAUACGGCACUAUUCAUCAAAAAAUAAAAAUUUUCUUUUUCGUCCAAAAUAUCUAUUAUGGAUACUAGCUUUGAUUGUAUCCAUGUUUUGAUCAUUCUUGAAUUUCACUUCACUAUGAUUAUUUAUGAGGUAUUUUUGGACAUGAAAUAGCUGAAAUACGAAUCCUUGAUGUUUAUUCUUUUGUUUCACUGGAUUCGUUUCCUUUAAAAUAUUUUUCAUCAUCCUCAGUCCUAAAUGAUGAUAUUAUUGAAUAUCUUUAGCCUGUAGUGCAAAGAUAAAAGAUUUUAUAAUGAAUAUCUUUGACCCGUAGUGCAAAGAUGAACAUGUGUUGAGAUGAACAUGACCGACUGAUGAAUAUUUUUGACCUGUAGUGCAAAGAUGAAUAUUUGAUUCAAGAUAUAUAUUGAUUGAUGUUACAGGGAUAAAAUAUUGAUGAUGGACUUUUAAAUUCAUAGAUAAUAGUAGAUUUCAUUCUCUACGUAACUCUUCUAUGAAUUAUUAUUUUCGCUGCGAAUAUUGAUCUAAAACUUGUUGUCUAUUGUAUUCUAUCAGAUUUUUCCCUGUUGAAGACUAACGAUAAUUUGUUCUAUAUUAUCUUAGUCAUAAUAUUCUUUACUGGACUAGUUGAGCUCACCCUUUUCCUUUUUGUUCUAUUUUUCUUCUCAGGAGGCGAGAAUGUAGCGAGUACUAGUCGGGGUAUGGAAUGAUGAUUCUAGAAGUUGUUUAGUAGUCCUCACCAUUUUUGUAAAAUAAUGUAUCAAUAAUUAUGAUAAGGAUUUAUUUGGGUAUGGAUAUUGUCUAGAAGAUAAUAUUUGUAUUUAAACUUACAGUUUUUAUGAUGUAUUAAUAAAGUUGUAGUUGUUUCUAUACCAUGUUAUUGACGACCUAAAAUGGGUGAUGUAUACCUAUUUUGGGGGCAUCACAGUUUUCGGAGCCUAAUUUCAUUGAAAACGGGUCAACGAUCAAAAGUCACUAGAUUUGCUGGUGAACUGCAGGGUUUUUUUGGUUCAAAUUCCAUUAUUUAGGCCUUCAAAAUUACAUGUAAAAAUGUGGUUUAUGUUCUGGUUACUAAGAUUAUGUAAUUUGGUUACUGUUUAAUAUUGAUUUGGUUAAUUUACAAUAUUUAUUCAUUUGUUAGACAAUGGAGACUUAUAGAAACCAAUAUAACAAAUUUAAUUAUUUACAGGAAUAUAUAAUUGUUUACUGUUAGUAACCAUUAACCACAUGGUUGGUAACAUUUUUAAUGGUGUACAGUAACCAAAAUUGAUGUUGAUUAAUAUUUUAAUUUUUGAUUCCAUCAUGAGUUAUCAAUAUAAAGUAAACAUAUACAUUGAACAAUUGGUAACUGUUCUGAAACAUUUUUAUGUAAAUUUGGUUACCCGUCUAAAAUAAAAUGGUUACCUCUAUAUUCAUAUUUAAUUACCAACUGGCAUGGACCAUUUCUAAAUAAUUUUUAUAACUACGUAAUUUAAAAGUAUCCAUCAGCCAGAUAAAUGGGAACCCUCACAUGUACAUUAAGCACUUGAUAAUUGUUCUGAUAUAAGUUUUUAAUUAUUUGGUUACUAACAAAAACUAAAAUGAUUACCUUUAUAUGCAGGUUUGGUUACCAACUGCACCUCUUAACCUACUUUUAUUUUAAUAUGAGAUCUAUAAGUGACCAUCAUAUAUAUAAAUGAGAACUCUUAAUUGCAGUUUCUUAUUUUAUCAUGAUGACAUGGUAUAAAUAAAACAUAUACAUUUAACACUUUAUAUCAUUCUUGAUACAAGUUUAUAAUUAUCUAGUUACCUUUAUAGUAGCCAAACCAUAAGGUAACAGUAACCAAAACAUAAUAAAGAAAUAACCAAAUAGUUAUAUAAAAGUAACCAGAACAUGUUUUAAUGGUAACCAAAACAGAAACAACCUGUAUACCCAACCAAGUUUAGGCAACCCAUGUAUACUCUCACAUGUACAUUUAACCAAAACUUUUCCAAUGAAUUUUCUAAAAGAGCAUAACCCUUGUAGAAUAUAUUUGAAGGAAUUUACAAAAAUAAUACAUCAAUGUAUACUAAACAAAUACAUGAUUUAUUAUGACUUGGGUUUAUUAUUUACAAAAAUAAUACAUCCACAAACUAAUGAUGCCUUAAACUUCUCCAACUGACUUGGGUUCAAUUUCUUGGUAAUAAUGCUGGGGACUUCCAUGUCACACCAAUAUAUAAUUUUUCUAAUGAAUUUUCUGUUGCAUUCCUCAUAGUAAAGAUCUCAUAACUGCAAAUAAACAAAAUCAGAUUUACACAGUCAUUAGUAACCAGAUAUAAACAAUAUUUAUAACAUAAACAGUUACGUAGUGACCAACAAAUAAGAGCAUACUAACCAAAACAUAAUAUAACAAUUACACAGUAGCCAAAACAGACUAUAACAAAUAACCAACAUCCCACAUUGACUGCACAAUAAUAGUUAUCAUAUCAUAAUAUAACAUUAACCAUACCAUAAUAAAGCAGUAACCAAAAAGUUAUAUUAUAUAAUCUAAUGGUAACCAAAAUAUAAACAACAUGUAAUACAUACCAUUUUAUGUAGUAAACAAACAGUUAUAUAUAAUAUUAAUCAGAACAUAAUUUAAAGGUCACCAAAACAAAAAUAUGUAUACCAAAAAAUAUACUAAAGAAGUAACCAAACAGUUAUAUGAUAGUAACCAAACCAUGUUUUAAUGGUAACCAACACAUAAACAACAUGUAUACCAAACCCAGUUUAGUCAACCUAUAUAUACUAAGCAAAUACAUGGUAACCAGAACAACAAAAAACAGUAACCAAAAUCCUAACCCAAGGAAACAAAAAUAGAAUUCAAAUCAUAAACUAACAGUAACCAAAAAUAUACUAAAGAAGUAACCAAAUAUUUAUAUGAUAGUAACCAAAACAUGUUUUAAUGGUAACCAAUACAUAAACAACAUGUACACCAAAACCAGUUCAAUCAACCAUGUAUACUAAGCAAAUACAUGGUAACCAUAACAACAUAAAAAAGUAACCAAAAUACCAAAUCAAGAUAACAAAAAUAGUAUCCGAAUCACAAGCUAACAGUAACCAAAACAUAAUGCAGAAGUAACCAAAUAGUUAUAUGAUAGUAAUAAUAACAAAAUUUAAAUUAGCACACCUUUAAAAAAAUUUAGGUUGAAAAUAUCUUCUGGCUAUGAACUUGAGCUUCUGUCUUAACUACAUGGACAGCAAAAUCAGAAUCCAACUACACAAACCCAACAAAUUUCUUCAAGUCCUUAAUAGAAUCACCCUCUGUGAUUCUUUUUCUCUUUCCAUCCUUCUUCCUUGUAUUAACCAUUAUAUACAAAACAUAAAAACAACACAAACCCAAACAAUCAAUACUUCAUUCUGUUAUAAACAUAGCGUAUAUAUAUGAUCAUAUUGACAAUUAAUUAGUAGAAUGAGAAAAUUAACAAAAAUUAGAAGCAGACCUUAGAGAGAGAAACCAGAAUCCUUUCACCUGUGAGAGAGUUGGAGAGAGAAAGUCACGUAUUCGACUGUGUAAUUUGUUGAUGGAAAUUCAUCAGUUGUAACUUGGAGCACUUUAGAUGAAAUAGAAACGGUGUAUAAACUUGUAAUUGUUUGGAUAUGGGAAGAAGACUCGUGUGAUUAAGGACAACCGAGUGGAACAGAGCAUCUCAGAUCUGGAUAGAAAAAUAGAUGGGCGGUUAUUAAGCGUUUCAAAAAAAAAAAAACCAACCCAAUUAUAAGAUAGACACUAAUUUGCCAUGUCAGCCCACUAAUAUUAAUCCCUUAAAUUAAGGACUUUUAAUUGUAUUAGUAUUGUAAAUAAAAAUGAUGAAGUGUAAUAUUUUUGUAAUUAUUUUUUAGGUGUAUCAUUAUUGUAAUUAUUUUUAAAAAUGUACUAAUAUAUGUAAUUCAUCCUUAAAAAUAUUAUUAUUAUUUACUCUAACCAUUGGGCCGGCUGGGUAAACCAAGAAAAUAUUUUAGACCUGUCAAUUAUUAUUAUUUACGUAUUCUUUUAUAUAUUUUAUUAUUAUUAAUAAUCGUUUUACUUUACCUCUUUUAAUCCACUGCUCAACGGAAACAAUCACUAUCACAACUCCAAUACUAUUUUAAAUGUACUCUUUUUACUUUACUUCACUUCGUUUGAUGGCUUUCAAUUUUCUAUCAACUUGCAAAAAAAAAUCUAUCAAAACGACGUCGUUUUGAUACAUAGAAGAACAAAAAGAGUUGUGAGCCAUUAAAUCUCUUUUCGUUGUCUAACUCCACAACAAAACCCUCAUAAGAUCCUCACAGAGAAAUCGUCAUAAAGGAUCCGAAUCCCAUUAUGCAUUAAUCAUUAUGAAUUGGAGUGGAGUAUUGGGGUGGGGGAGUUGCAUGUACCAAAAAAAAACCUUGGACGUGUAUACCUUCCCUUCAGAGUUGAAUAGGUGUACCUAGUAAAUGGAGUACUUAGUUGUAUGAUGAUUGCUUUGUUAUUUCAUCAAAGGGUUUGUAGAGGAUGCUGCAGCUCCAAGGAAAACAAACGAGUAGUAGUAAAAGAGAAAAACACAGUUUUGAAUGAAGAGAGUGGAUCGGAUCGGAUCAGAUCAGUGUUUUUAAUAGACUGCAACCAUACAUACAUACAUUCGGUUAAUUACAAAACCACCCUAUCCAAUGCCCAUGGGUACGAACAAGUAGAAGUGCUACACCAAAAAAUAAGAUAGCAUCAUCAUCAUCUCUACAUAUUCUUUUUGCAAGUAAGAUGGCGGCGGCUACCUCCCUACAUUCCAUUAAAGAACUACCCAAACUGUUUGUUUACAAAAUCAACAUUACAGUAAAACCAAUAUGAACAUUUAACACCUAAAAGCCAAAUUUGUGACUUGCCAAUCGAAUAUUCAAGCCAUGUGAUGACAUCAACUCUUCAUUCUACUCGGAGCCAGGCAAACUUCCUAUACAUGUUGACCACGCAUCUUCUCGUGCAUAUCCAAAAUAACUUCCCGCAACUCGGGAAAAACGGAUACGAGUACGAGUUCAAGUAUUCCGUAUGUGAGUUGCUUCAAACAGACUGUGGACUGCAUAUACACACUCACAGACUUUAAGCUAUUGUUGGUCCCAGAUAAAGUGCCAUCAAAUGAAACAGAAAAUAAUUAUUCAGCUUACGAUAAGACUUUUACCUGGAGGANNNNNNNNNNNNNNNNNNNNNNNNNNNNNNNNNNNNNNNNNNNNNNNNNNNNNNNNNNNNNNNNNNNNNNNNNNNNNNNNNNNNNNNNNNNNNNNNNNNNAGAAAACAAAUUAACGGCACCCAAUGUUAAGUUUUGCAGACGUUCUGAUACACGGUCAAUCAUAACUAGGUUUGAUUUGUUAACACGGGGCAUCAAUAUGGCUAAGAAUUUUUAUAAUAUUGUCAAUUAACAAAUAAAUAUCAAGAUAAAAGUUAAGAUAUCCUACUUAUUCUCCCCGUCAUACAAUAUCCACAUAUAUAGCAAAAUAAAUCUCUGUUGUUCUAUUCUUCUACCAGACUUUAGAUAUUACUCCCUCAAUUCCACAAAAAAGUCUCAUUUGACUUUUUUUCCUAGUCAAAUUUUAAAAUCCUAAAAUUCAAAAUUGAGAUAAAUUUAUUUGAGUUUGAUUAAUGCUAUAGUUAAUAUUUUAAACUACUUAAGAAAGUACUACCAAGUACAAAAUUGCUAUUUCGAAAAUUAAUUUACUUCACGUCACCACUCUAAUUUUAGGAUUUUGCAAAUUAACUAUGAUCAAACUCAAGCUGGACUCUUUUUGUGGAACGGAAGGAGAAACUCUUAUAUGGUAAUAUUAGCAGAAAGCCUUUUCUGCAAUUUAUAAAAGCAAUUAUUACAAUACAGACAGAUACUUAGACCUACACUAGUAGUGGCAGACUGAUUUUUAUCGACAUAACAUUCACCCCAGCCAUCACAUACUAAUGUAGUGAACGUCCUUCAAAUGACUUAGACCUAUACUUAGUAGUGGCAGACUGAUUGUUACCAACAGAACAUUCACCCCAGCCAACACAUACUAAAGUAGUGAACAUCCUCUGAAUGACCUGGCUGCAGAUGUAUUAACAUUAACAAUUUGAAGACGAGAUAAAUAAACAAAACACAACUUCCUGGUAAACGAAGGAAUUUCAAAUAAAUGGUCCACAAAGAAGACUAAAAUAGUAAGAUGCAUAGACACUCGCAAGUGAUGUUUAGAGGUGAAAUGCAAGUCACUUCCAGUGAACAUCAAACCAAUAAAUAGAGAAAGGGAUAACUAGUUCUCACUUAAGAUCAUUUUCUUGACAUCACUAGCUCUCCGAGCAGCCUCAAGCUGCUGCUCAAAUGACCCCGGUUUAGAGACCUUGCUGCUGGCUGAAUGGCUUGAACUUUGUGAAGAUCUCUCAUUUGGUUCACAAUCAUCCAUUUCACUUUUAAUAUUUAAUUUCAAGAAGAAGGUACCAUCAGGCCAAAGCACCUAAAAUAGAAAUCCAUCAUUAGAACAAAGAAUACCUGAGAUUAAUGUUCUUUACUUUUUCUAUCGACGCCCUAUUUUCAAAGAAAUGGAUUUUUGGUGUAACAGACUAAGAGUUAUAAAAAUUAAAAUAUACACAGGUAAUUACUGAUUAGGAAAUUAAACAAAUUGGAGACCAUUGCUUUCUUACAUUAAAUAACUAUAUAAUAAGAAGGAACAGCUAAGUUCUCCAUAUAAAUAGAUUUUUUCAUAUAUAAGUAAGCAUUAUCUGGUUAUGCUCCAGUGAUGCAUCAAAAUUAAAUAAACUUAACUCAAUGAAGCUAAUUUCUCAACUUAACUCAACGAAGCUAAUUUCUCAACUAUUGGAGUCGCAUGAAUCUUGUUUCACCAUUCCAUUCAAUUUGGGGCAACUACUUUAGUUACACCAAUUUCCACUACAUCUUUCCUUACUAUCGAUUAGCAUUAAUACUGGUACAUUCCUUCUCCUACCAUUACUUAAAAAUUGUUGAAUUAAUCUUCCAUACUACUCUUGACCGGUGUUUUUCUCAUUUUACUCCUAUUGGUGCAACUUUAACUGUUUAUGACUUCAAAUACUUAACUUCUUAAUGUUAUUACUUUCACUCGAUGGAGAUGUUGGCCUUUGGAAUGAAGCUGAAUGUAUUGCCAAACAAUUAUCUGUCUUUCGCCAAUAGUUGUCAAAAUCUUAUGAUACUCGAUACGUAUCGUACGAUAGAUAGUUCGAUACAAUAAUCGCAGGAUGAAUAAAAAAUGACACCGUAUCCUACAAUUCAGUUACAAUUCUUACGAAACAAUACAAUACACGAUACUUUUUAAAGUUAACAACCGACUUGAAUUUUUUUUUAUGUAGAACCAAAAGAGUAAAAACAAAGCUUUAAUCCUUCUACCAUUUCAAAUGAAGAGGCUUUUUAGUAUAAACAUAUUCUAUAUUGUCUGACGAGCCUUUAAUCACUUUUUAGAGAUUUAUAUCUUCUUCAGAAUGUCACUUUAUUUUUCUCACAUCAGUUUUGUUAAUUUAAAUUAUUCUCUUUUGUUUUAUAGAUAAAAGGUGAAUCUGAAUUUUACGUUUUCUCUUGUUACUCUAUAAAUAUUACUAAAAUAAUAUCUAACAAAUCAAUUUAGAGUUUUGGCUACUAUCUAACUUAAAAAUUUUAUUUUUAGUCUAUAAUAAUAUUUACUUUACUACUUUUAUAUAUAGUCAAGCUAAUAUGCUUGAUUGUCCAAUAAUUAUGUGUUUUAUAUGUUUAAAUAUUACCACAUUUAUCAUUUCAUUUCCGUAUCGUACGAUACGAUUCACAAUACGAUACAUGAAACACGAUAUGGGGGUAUUCGAUACACGAUACGAUUCACAAUUUGACAACUAUGUUUUGCCCCACUCAUUUCGUAAUCAUCAAGCCUCUGAACAUCUGUCAUUGAGCAUAACCCAAGGUCAACCUCUCUAAGAAAUAAGUUGAGAAUAUUACUGAAUAUUAAUUAAGAAGCUGAGGCAGUAAGCUAAAUUUUGAAUGGCACUCUGUGACCGACAAACAAGGCAUAUGACCAACAAAUAGAUGUGCUAAUGUUAAAAGAAUAUUACCAUUCAGUCACCUACUCAAAUAUUUGAUGCCACUACAGAAUUCUGAAUCUGUAUAUCAGUGCUAUCAAAAUCUGAAUAAAGCUACAGAUGUUGAUAUAAUUAUAAAGCUUUGGACCCUUACUAGGCUCUGGCAGACCCCAUAAACGGUUCUAUGUCUAAGGCUGAGGCAGGGCUCAGCUUAAAUCGACUGGCACUUCCAAAACUAUGUGGAGUUUCUAUCUAAAGGAACCACACUGCCUCUAGUUCUAUUUAGCAGGUAUGGUGGUCCAGCUGACUUUAUAUUGUGCACUAAAAAAUACUACAAACACCGUAACUCAAAUUGUAGUGCUUCCAAUUGAAAAAUAGAAAAUCAGAAACAUAAUUACAAUGUUCUAAAAGGGGCUAGGCGGGAGGCGGGCGGCCAGGGGGACCUAGCGCCUGGGGGGCCUAGGCGGAAUUUUUUAUUUUAAGACAAUUUUAAUAUUUUAUCUUACAUUAAUCUAACAAAACAAUAAUAUAAAGCAAAAUAAUCUAUAAUAAAGAUAAUAAUUAAAUUAUAGAAUUAGUAGUAAUUGCACUUACGUAGUAAGAUAUAUAUCCAUUGCUUGAAAUAAUUAAAUUAUAGAAUUAGUGUUACUAGUAAGUAGUAACUAGUAAGAAGUAUCUUGAUAUCUUCAUAUAUAUAAUUAUAUACAUACUUCUUCUCUCUCAAAAAUUUAAAUAAAUGUUAUUUUUAAAAAUUAGUGUGAAGUUUAUUGAAUGAGACAUUUGAUACUAUUAAUUAUGAAAUUAUUUUAAUUUGUGUAAUUUUCAAAAUUGAGGACUUAAAGAAAAUGACAAAUACCAUAUACUAAGUAUGACUAACAUAUCUUUGACGUAUUAGUUUUAUUCAUAAACAAAAUUGGUAUUAAAUAAUAAAAUUUAAAAUUUUAAUAAUUCAAUUCAAUAUUAAAACUUAAGAAACUAAACAUAAAUUUAAGAAUUAUAUUGAAUUAAACUAAAUAUUACAAAUGUAUCAUCAUUUAUAGAAUUUCAAGUUGGUACAAGUUCAAAAAAUUACAACUAUAAUAAAAUUAUCCAUUUUGACUUGAUCUUGUUCACUUCUUGUUGUGAUUUGAUAUGCUACAACUUUUGCAUUAAGAAUAUGGUAAAUAAAAAUAAAUAUAUCAAGAUUUGGUUUUGGUAGUAAUUUAAAAAAAAAAAAAACUCCACCUAGGCCCCGUCUUUCCCGCCUAGCCUGCCUUCCCGCCUAGCCCGCUUUUUUCACCGAUUUGGCCUUAGGCACAGCGCCAGGCCCCCGCCUAGAACCUAGGCGCCGCCUAGGCUGAUUUUUAGAAUAGAGCAUAAUUAAUAUUAAACUUAUAAGUUUCCAGAUGAACAAUUUUGGUAAAAUGAUUUGCAAGUAAAAUUGCAGGUUUUCAAUUGAACUAUUCAGAAAAAUUUAGAAAUAUUUAAAAUGGCUUGAUACUUGCAUCAUGGAUCCAGCGAAUUCCUUGAGCAAUAAUAUCAUCUCUCCGGAGCCAAUGAAUUUGCCUUAAGAGCCAGUCAUCAAUAGCAUCUUCCAUCAUUAACUGUAAUAUUUGCUUUGAUAUCCAAAAGACCUGUCUUCUGCACCAAUAAAAAACAAGCAAUUUGAGCCAAAUGAAAAUAAGUUAUUUUUCCUUUAUUGAUAAGUUCAAUUAUGUUUGACAGGUAAAAAUGAAAAUCAGAAAACAACAAGAUGCAUGCCAUAUAACUUUCAUGCAGUUCCAUCGUUUUCUUUAUAGAAAAAACAAAUUUAAAGAGAGAGAGAGAAGAAGUUGUGCAGUUAGAAGGGGCCUAAAAUAUUUAUCUCAAAACAAGAAAACAGUAAAUACUAAAUUCUCCUUUCUUAGAUGUGAUGCAAUAUUACCAGGGAUUCAUAAGAUUUAAGGUGAAAAGGAUUAUGAGGACUCCCAAAACAAAACAUAUGACCACAACAAGCAAAAGAAAACAUCAAUAAACUCUAUGUAUUAGUGUAACCAAUGUUAGUGUAAGUACUGAGAUUGUAGGACAUGAAGGAAGAAAAGAAAGAUUAAGAUAAAUUCUGUGUGUGUGUCAAUCACUCACAGAACAAACACCACAUAUGCACGCAGAAACAAAUAGUUGCUAUGUUACAUCUCCAAAUACAUAACUCCUAGAUGCCCUUUUUAUGGUAUCCUCAUAUGUUGAAUCAACUGUAUACUCUACUGAAAAAUGCAUACCAUUCUCUCUCUCUCUCUCUCUCUCUCCCUCUCUCUCUCUUUCACACACACACACACACACACACACACACGACACAACAGAAAACUAGUAAGCCAUGUUCAGAUCCAAAACAAUCUCUUGGAUGUCUCCGACUCAAACUGGUAUCCUCAAACACUGUCAAAAUAUAUUAUACUGGAAAAAUAUAAACAUACCUACUCAAAUGGAUUUGUUAUAUCACAUGCCCAAAAUCAAAACUGUUGUAUAUAAUAACAGAAAGCAUCCUAUAACUACAGGAAUAUGAUAGUGCAAUAUUACAAGUUUGGAAUAUCAUGAUGGCAAGGAAAAAACAACACACACUGCAUAAAUAUGAAAAUUAGCUCACCUGAGCCAGCCUCUUCUUUUUAGCUGGAAGAUGUUAUCUACUAAAUUCAACACAGGUACACUUAAAUUUGGUGGCAUCCACUGCAAGGGAAAUUAACAGUCGUAGAAAAAAAUAAGCAUUCAAGAAAGACUUAGAUAUAACAUAACAUAUGGGUUUCAAACAUACUCUUUAAUCAGGACGUGGAUGAUAAUUCUAAACCUAUGAACCUAUUGUAAAAAGACAAACUGAGUUAUCCUAGUGAAGUAAGGGCCAUAAUUGCAAAUUGGACUCACACUCUUAAUUAAAUCUACACAAAUUUGAGUAGCGUCUCCACUUCAUUCUUAUUAUCUAUCUAAAUCUCUUAACAUGAUUGUCAUCAAUUUCUUCAAUACUUAACGUUUAGCCACAAAAAUGUCUGAUUUUGUUCGUAAGGCAUAAAAUCUUUUCCCUUAACAUCCUUCCAUGUCAUUUAAGAAGAAACCUUGAUCCUCUAGAGAUUGUGAACCAAAUCAAUGUAAAAUUGUGUCGUUAUAGAAUGAUACAAAAUAUGUUAUAAAACAAUGAUAGGUGGAAAAUUCAUGUCACGAUAUAUUUAUCAACAGUGUUUUACGAUCAGCAGAAAUUGUUCAACGACUAGAACCAGAGCUUAGAAUCUAAAGACAUAAAUAAGAAAUCAGUGUACGGAGUUAGUUGAAGACAUUCUAAUAAAUUCAGCCCUACUUGAUAAUCAAGCACAAAAUUUGUAGGCAGCUAGUAGAAGUAUCUAUGUAGAACCUAUAAUCCCCCAUCACAGUCCAUUCCCAUUUCCCCCACCAUAACACCCCACCUUGAAACUUUAAGAAAAGAUACCAUUCAACUAAAUAGGGUCACACAAAAAAGCAAGCAUAACCAGGAUUCAGGAGUCAAACAGAAACGAAAUGCACUCGACUGAAUGCACAAUACCUCUGGUGGUACUCCAGUUGGAUCUUCCAGACGAUCAGAAGUUAAUGGAAAGUUUACCCCCGAAAAACCAUGAAUGCUGAUUGAUUCAGAUUGCACCCUGGAUUUAGGAUUUUCCUCAGAAUCUAAGCAUCUAAACUCUUCGUUGCGUUUAACCACCCUUGGUGGAAAUUCCUUCGAAUUCAAUUCGUUGUCUGAGUGCCACCCAUGAGCUUGUGCAACAGAUUCUGUUUCCUCAGUGCCACCUCUAUCACCUUCCUCAUUAUCAGAAAAACUAUUAGCUGAAUUUCCGGUAUGUUGUCUUAAAAUCAGUUUAUUUAUCUCAUCUUCUUUCCAGGAUAAGUUCUUGCCAGAAAUUGAAGAAGCUGGUUCAUAGGCUGAGGAAGAUGGGCCAACAACUUUCCGCAUCAAGCCAUCUGAAACUCCUUUGAACUGGCGUACAAUGUCAUCCACAGCAUCAUCCACAUUGACUGUUUGAUGAAAACCAAAAAAUUGACAGUGCUAACAGUAAGUGAAUAUAUUUUAAGCCAGUCAUAAAAUCACAAUUGAUCAGCAAGAUAAACGACUUAAACCGGAAGGCAAACAGUUUAGCACCAUAAAUAGAUGUUACAAGAUUACUGCCGGAGCUUAGUGACCAUAAGCAUUUGAGUCAUCAAAACUUUCUCACAGUAUUAACUCUCCUAAACUUAUUCAUAAGAGUUUAUUUUGGUAAAGGGCACAGAAUGCCUAUGCAAAUAAGAAGACAUCACUCAUAAUGGAUAAUUUAUGCAUAUAGACAUCAUAGUGUCUUUCUGAUUCAAUCCAGGAUCCAUUCAGGACUUCCUAGAUGCAGCAGAAAAGUCUUCAAAUCAAAGCCCAAAUAACAAAUACAUUAACAAGGAAUAAUACCAUACAAAUGUCAUAAUCAACAGACACCUUCUAACUGAUGAGAAUAUUAUGAGGAUAAUCACUGCUCUCUGUAUAUCCCUGAGCGUAACAUACACAACAUACUUACAAAAGAAUACAUACACCAGAACUCAACAUUAUCAACUAAAGUCCUAACUCUAGGAAGCAGCCAAUGACAAAAGGCAUAAUCAUUUUAUUUAGUGCACCACCUGGACACCAGGGAAAACAACCACCAAACUCAAGAACCUCCAAGUGAAUUUACUUAAUAUUUGAUUUUCUCUAAGAAAAUUCUUAAUAUGAACACAAUUUACGGCUUUACGUACAGUUGAUGCAUUUAUUGACGCAUCAAAAGCUUAUGUUUUACGUGAAGCAACAACGUAAAAACUGCCACCUGGAUUCUAAUUCUAACCACUAUUGAAGGUAAUGGCUUGGAGCAAUUCAUUUAAUUCUGUUAACUAAUAGAAUUUUGAUACUUAUUUUCUAGACUUGGGAGGAUGGCAGUUUCUUGUUGAGUGAUUUUUAUUCAUUAAUUACAAAAUGUAUUUCAAAACUAAACGGAUUUGUAAUAAAAUAUAAUUCAUAAUUAGUAAAUAUACCAAUCUUAUGAAUAAUAUUCUUCCAUUUCAAACGAGUUCUUAGAUUUGAAGUUUUAAUGUGAUGCUAAAUAACUUUAUUGGCUUAAUGUUUUAUGUUUUUGUUUUUUUAAUUAGAAUUAGAUACUUCGAACAAGCAUUUCAAUCACAAUCUUAUGGAAAAUAAAAUGGUUAUGAUAAAGUACAUCAUAGUUUUAGAAAUGAUGUGCUUCGAGGUCGAUCCAACAAAUCUUCUCAUGAAUAUCUAUUUUGCCAAAUCAGAUUAUCUGCCCCUUUAAGAAAAUUAUUAAACCCUCCUUGGAGGUACAAAAUCGAUGAUCAAACUUUACCACGAUUGCAACUUAGUAAUAAUCAACAAAUGGGAGUGUAAAACCUCAAUAAACUUUUUCGCUAAGUAAAUUUAAAGUUGAUAAAAUGGAAAAGUUUCAAUCAACUAACAAACAAAUUUAAUAAGUUUGGACGCAAGAGAAAAAGUCACAUACCUGCCAGGGUCCUCAUCACAGAAGGCGAUUUUCCAAAAGAAUAAUUCUGUAUAAAUAAAAAACAAGUAUUAGUUCAACUUAAAGGAGAUUUAUCAUACAAAAUUAUAACAAGAAGAAGAAGAAUGAUCACCUUUGAAGAAACACUCAAAAAAUCCCACACUUCAUGUUGCUCAGCUACAUUAGCUAUUGACAAGAGAUCCUAGAAGAGAAUUUAUACUCAAACAGUUAAAAAAAAUUUAUCCUUUUUAAAGCUACACAGAGUAUGGAGAGAGUCAUACUUGUAAAUACUUGUCAAGCUGAAUGCAACGUUGAUGAACAAAAGCGUCCUCUGUGCUCGAAGAGAAUAUUCUUUUGGGAGGCAAAUGUAAUGUAUAAUUAGGAAUGUCCUUAAGAUGACGAUGCAAUCUCUCAAAAUUCCUGUAUCUGCUGACAAAAUGUAAAAAAUAAAUUAAAACAAAUCCAAGAUACAGACAGAGAAAUGCUCACUUAAAUCUCCACUAACUUUCAUAGUAAGAUGAGAAUCACAACAGUCAUUUGUUUCUUUUUUAAAGACAAAAACAAUCCAACCAGCAUUAACCAUUACACCAAUAAUUUAGAAGCCUGUACAAUUGAUAACCUAGUAACUAUUUUGUCACUAGAGGUAAAAAGCAGAGCAAGACCUUCUUCUCACAAAACAAGUGCUGCUAUCGGCAUCUGUUACUGCUAUCGAAUAGACUGCAAAAGAUUUUGACCCAAGUUUCUCAAAAUAUGCUCCUAUAACCUGUAGUAAAGAAUAAGGUAGCAUCAGGACCAUUCACAUAUGGCAUUGAAGAAUUAUAGACAAGCCGAUUAUAAAUGAUCAUCAAUUAUACAGAGUAUCAAAAGAAUCUGCUCUGACUAAUGUUCUGCGUUAUACAUACAGUCCAUAUCCCAGAAUCAUACAACCAUGAGCAUUUACAGGAAGUAAGGGAAGAAAAAUAAUCGCACCUGGCACUUGAGCUUGGGAACAUGUUGUCCCUCAUUGGAUAACACCAUAUCAGAAGAACUCUUAACACUGGUCACUUGAUUAUGACCACCUAGAUUUGCACUGUAGAACUCGGAUAUAAUUGGUCCACCACUUUGGCUUGUAAAAGCAGUUUCCAUAUUUGGUUGAAUAAUCAAAUCAGGAGUGCUAUUUGAUCUUUUCAGCUUAACUUUAUUUCCACUAGCACUAAGAGAAGUGGUAUCCUCAAAUUCAUAGCCUCCCUUAAAAGAUGCUACCGUGUUCAGAUCCUGCGAAAAAUGCAAUGCAUUAUUGAUCUGAUCAAUUAGUUGAGAAUCUGGAGGAGGCCUUGGUGGUGUUUGAGCUAAAGCUUUAUAUUCUGUUCUUGUAGAAGCUUCUAAUAUUUCCUUCACUGUGUCUUUGGUAUGCAAGCCACUAUUUAUUCCUGAACCCUUUGCCGCAGGAGCCUGAACUCCAGUAGUAGCAUGUUUCUGAGCCUUCUUUUUGUAAUUUCUUCCUUUGGCCCACAUGUUCUCAAGAUUUUCAGGCAUAAGAACUUCUGUUCUUCUCUGGGUUGCUGCCUCAAGGAUUCGAGCCCAUUCAGCAGAUCGAUGCUGCAGAGCCUCGUCGUGACCUGUGUUAUAAAAGGAUUUUCCUGAAGCAUCCAAUGAUAAUUCUCUUACAUUGUCAUAGGUAGACAAUCUCAAAUCAGUCCCUUGAUUGUGAGAAGAUGCAUUUUUCCUCGGAGCAGCCUCACCGUAUUGUUGAUGGUCUGUAGAAACAACAUGAUCACGCUUAUGACCAUCUGCAUAAGUCGAGUGAUCGUCACCUGCCUGUUUAACACCCUCAUCUUUAGUAGCAAGAAAAAUAUAUUCAAUCAGCUCAUUGAUAUACCUGUAAACCAAAGAAUUUGUUAAUGCUCAAUUCUUGCAAUGGAAAAGAGAUACGUACAAGUUACAACUGAUAAAUAGAUAUAUACAAGUUUAAAUAUUUAUGAAUUCCAUGCAUGUGGUCAUCAAUAGAAGUGAAAUCAAAAGAAGGCAAGUAACAUGGGGAAGCAUGAGAGAGCUUUUUCCAACAAUCUAAAUAUAGAGAUAAUAAGAACAAUAUAAAAAUCCAUGUUAUGUACCAUGACAGUGUGAAUAGAAAGUACUUGAACAAAAAAAUAUAUGUAUAUGCAUUUAGAUUACAAUGCCCACAAUCUUAUUGCAAAACAAGAACAAGUUUUUCAAACAAUGUCUGCUGAAUUACUGUUUUGAAGCAGAAGAGUGUUAUAACUACGGUUCAAAGAUUACUGACCCCAUGGCUGGUACCAAAAUAUCAAACACCAUUACACAUUAAAACCUGACUGAGUAAAUUUGCAAAGAUUAAUGAGCUGUAUAUUACAGCUGUAGAAUUGCACUAUAAAGUGAACUGACUUGCAAACAUCCCUUUGGUAAAGCGUAAGCAUUAUCUAGCAAAGAUCUUUCUAAUUAACCCAAUAUUAAGUGCAUAACCUUUUACUUAUCAAACAAAUAUAUUAAGUGUUCAAAAACCUUACUACUUCCCUAUUUAAGUGCAGUACCAGAAAAAGUCCAGCUAUCACACUAAAUAUAAAUCCACUCAAAAAAGUGAGUCUGAGUUCUAAUUCAUGAAGACCUGAAUUAUGACUAAGCACUAGCAAGAUUCAUAGAAGGUUGUAUUAUUGAAAUAAAACUUGAAUUUAUCUUGAAAUGCUCAAUCAAAAGCUACUAAUGCAACACAGCAAUAGAACAAAUGAAUUUAUUCAACACCUCACAUGAUUAAUUAAUAGCAAAGAAAUUUAUGAGAACAUAAUGACAGAAACCCGACAUAUUUUUGUCAUACAAGGAAAGCUUUAAGGCUAUGUCUGCCUAAUACCAAUUAAAAUGGAAUCCUCAAGAGUUUGACUGAAGGGAGAUACUUGCAUAGUAAGUACAUAAUAAGAAAUCUGUAGGUCUCUGGAAAUGUCCAUAUAUCUAAGUAUUACGCUUACCAUCUUCCCUACAUUACCAAAUAUCUUGAAAAUAAUAAAAAACUGAAAAGAAAUAAGUUAUUACAAAUUAGGAAUUGGCUGAUUUUGACAACUCACCCAGGGCUAGCCAAAUUUAUAACAGGUUGCAUCACCAAACAAGUUAAAAGCUCUCGGGCAAUGCACCGGACGAGUGGGCAAUGGGAUUCCCGUGGUCUAAGUGCUACAGCUAAGACUCCGCCCAUAAGUCGUUGAAGAACCUACAAAAACAUAUAAAGUGUUAAAUGGUGGUAUACAAUUGAAAUACAUGAGAAAAAUAGUUUGAAUCAGAACACACCACUCACACCUUGUACUCACACUCUGGAGAUAUCAAUGCAGGGUGAAGCUCCUUAGAAGCCAUGAGAUGGUGCUUCAACCUUUCAUCCCUUUCCUCAGACGACAAUGUUCCCAUAACAUCCACACCAAUAGCAGCUUGGUUUCUUCUGAAAAGAUCCAGAUGAUCCCCUAUUAGGUCUACAACAUCCCUGAAACAUUAACAAAAUACAGGGUUUGAACUCUCAAAAACACAACAAUGCACAACCUUGGAAAAGAAAUUGAGAGAAAACCUUAAGUAAACAACCUUGUCAACAAUUCAACCAAGUUUAUCUCUUUGACUCUUCCAGACACUUCGGCAAGAACAUCCAUGAUUAUUGCAUGUAUCAGCUCAGGGGCCUCCGUAUCAGGCGUAAUAUCUGAAUACCAUAAAUCUUUAACAAAAUCUUGCAAAAGUUUGUUAAUAAAAUCCUCCAUUGCAGCCUCUAAUAUGGGAGAAUCUAUUUUUCUCUUCCAUUUAGGAGGGGGUGGCAAAGUAGAAAGGCGAGAAUCAUUAACAGAUAACUGCUUCUUUUCUAAGUGGGAUAGAUAUGUUUGUCGACAGAUAUUCCGAGCCUUCCAGUGAAACUCUACCUCAUUAAACAAAAUUCUCAACCCACAAACCAAGAGAACUGAUAUGGGAAUAUUCAUCCACAUUGAUUUACUUGUAUCUGCGUGAACAGUAAAAAAAUUAGGGAGGGGAGAGCGAGAGAGGGGAGAUAUAAUAUUAGAUAAGCCAUACAUUUUAUAGGUAAAGAAACUAGAGACAUAACCCCAAACUUAAUUGUCCAAAUACAAAAAAGAAACCACCUUCAUUUCCAGUUGGAGGAUCAUCACCUACAUCUUGUCAUAAAGACAGGACGAACAAGAUUUUUCUGUGUCUUAAAUAACAUUGCCACUGAAUUAAAGCGAGUUUCAUACAAUUUUCCACCUUGUUAAGCUAAAAUCUGUCGGGAUAUAUAUAAUACAUUUUUGUUUUAUAUACUUUACUUUUGCUCUUUCUUAGAAGCCUGUAGGGAAACAGAGUACUGCAACUAGCAACUAUUAAUGAUACUUGUAUAAUUAAGUUGGUAAAAGAAAAAUUCACAAGACAAACACAAUGUCGCAACAAAAACAAAUUUCAGUCACAUGAAACCCUAACUAAAUUCAGAACUAAAAUGGUUUCGCAUAACAAAUUAGAAAUCGAUAAUUACUCGAUUCUGACAACAGCUAAUUAAUUAUCUCGUCGUGGGGACAGAAACAGCAUAUUUUUGGAGCUCAAAGUAAAAACAAAAUCGAACCCCAAAAAAAACCUUAAACAACGGAGGAACUUACUUGUUAAUAAGUAAGAGAGAGCGAAUAUACAUAGAGCCCACCAUACAGUUCGAAGCUUUGCUUCUUCGAUCAGAUCUUGCAAAGUAUCCAUGGGCUUCAUUGAUUCCAAAUCCCUAGAAAUCUCAAACAAAACACAACACUUUGAAUUGAAAGAUGUACUCCAGGUAACGAAUCAAAGUCUUCGCUAAUUUAUCCUUGAAUAUCGAGAUCAUAUGAUCAAUUCGCAUGAAUAAUAACUGAAUUUUGUAAGAAAAAAAUUGGGGAGAAAUAUUAUAAUAAUUGAGCUGGAUAGAAGUGAAUUGCUAGUUUUUUGAUUUUUGAUUCCCACAACUUUUUGUUUAUUCCUGUUGACGGGUGGAGGAGGAGAGAGAAGAAAACGUGGGAAAGAAAGCGGAAAUCAUCGUUACAGGCUUGGCUUGGCUGCCUCGUUGUACUGUAGAAUUGUCGGAUUCAAGUUGACGGAUUUGCCAUCAGAUCAGUUCAUAUGUGAUGUCUUAAAUGGACAAUUCAUUUCUAAAUUAUUUAAUAAAUAUAUUACUUCCACAAAACAAAAGAGUUCCAUUUAUAAAUAAAUAAAUAAAUUUUGUUACAUAAAAGUUAUUAGGUCUUCAAAUUUCUCCUCAUAGCUAAAUUAUCAUGUCUUGCUAUUAUUAAUUAAUAACUCGAAAAGGUAUUGUAUUCUAUUGAGAGAAUUAUGUAAAAUUUAUUUUUUAUUUAAAAGAAUAUAUAUAUAUUUGCAUCUGCCCCCAUACAAACAUACAACUUAUUUCAAAUGUUUUGGGCUAAACAUUUUAUUAAAUAACAUGUACAUGUAAGUGUGGAUUUGAGUUAAAUGAAGGAGUGGAUAUCGGAGAGAUUUAUAUUAAUGGAUGAUUACAAAUACCAUGAUUACCAGAGUUUUUUAAAAUUCAUGUCAAUAAAAAAAACCAAUUUGUACAAUGUUAAAAUAAUAUAGUAUGUGUUUCUCAUGCAAUUUGGACAAAAUUAAAUUAGUAGUUUUACUUCUCAAAUGAAGUGUAAAUGAAUCUCACACGUGAGAGAAACCUUCUAUAUUAAAAGGUUUAUUUGGCAAAAACCAACAUUUAUCAUAUAAACAAUUCAAAAACUUUCAUAACCUUGAUCAAAAGUGUUAAAUAUAUAUAUAUAUAUAUAUGAGAAGGAAGAGGAAGAUAUAUUUGUCUAAACAGAUCAAGGGCAAGAGGAAAAAAAAAUAGGGUGACAUGACAGGGUUACACGGCCGAUGUUGAAACACCAAACAAAAAUAAGUUGAAACACCAAACAAAAAUAAGCUAAAAGAAAAUACUAUAACCCAAUCUACCAUAAGUUUAUUCCACCUCAAUGCAGUACCUUUCUAUGCAGUACCUACCGGUCUACUUGUUACUGGAAAUAUUGGCCAGGAGGAAAUCCCUGACCUUGAUAUAAAGGUCUGGGGGGAGCAAGAGGGUCAUAAACACCGCUUCUGGGCGGUUCAGACCUUAAACUGUUCAUCCUAGAGUAGUUUAACUCAUCCAACCGAGGGGCAUAACGCUGCAUCGUGGAUGUGCUGUAAGAUGGAUCAGGUACAGAACCACCUAGAUUCCCGUAUGGAGUUGGAACCCUAGGAUUAUGGCCAUCUAAAUAGCUGCUUCUUUGACUUGGUAGAUCAUACAUAUAACCACGAUUUUCCACAAUUUCUCGCUGGUGGUAGCCCGAGAUCUGCUCUUCUGAAAACCUAUUUCUGUUUGUUGAACUUUGAUAGGGCUCCCCACUGACAGAUACAUACCUCCUGGCCGCCAUUUCAUCCUCCCAAGUCCCUGCAGCUCUAAACUGAUAUGAUCCAGAUAUGCUGCCAUCAAACUGCUGAUAAGUUUCAUUUCCAACACCUGCAAGUGAGGGAGUCUCAACAGCCUGGGAUUGGGAAGGCAGAAAACUUUUCUGGUAGUCCUCAGACAAUAUCUCACUUGAUCCUCUUCUCCCCUUACCUGUAUAUCCAGCUCCUAACUGAUGUAGUUCAGAUAUCCUGCCAUCAAAGGGCUGAUAACUUUCAUUUCCAACGCCUGUAAGUGCGGGAGUCUCAACAGGCAGGGAUUGGGAAGGCAGAAAACUUUUCUGGUAGUCCUCGGGCGAUAUCUCACUUGAUCCUCUUAACCGCUUACCUGUAUAUCCUCCAAACCAGUGCGAUUCAGAUACCCUGCCAAGAUAACUUCCAUUUCCAACGGCCGCCACAAAUGAGGGAGUCUCAACAGCCUGGGAUUGGGAAGGCAUAUAACUUUUCUGGUAGUCCACGGGCGACAUCUCUCUUGAUCCUCUUAACCGCUUACCUGUAUAUCCUGCUCCCAAGUGAUGUGGUUCAGAUACCCUUCCAUCAAAGUGCUGAUAACUUUCAUUUCCAACUCCUGUAAGUGAGGGAGUCUCAACAGCCUGGGAUUGGGAAGGCAGAAAACUUUUUCUUUUCUGGUUGUCCUCGGUCGAUAUCUCACUAGAUCCUCUUCUCUGCUUACCAUUAAAUGAGGGAGUCUCAACACCCUGGGAUUGGGAAGGCUGAGAACUUUUACUUUUCUGUUUGUCUUCCGGCAAUAUCUUACUUUUAAAUGACGGAGUCUCAACACCCUGGGAUUUGGAAGGUUGACAACUUUUGCUUUUCUGUUUGUAUUCCGGCAAUAUCUUACCUUUAAAUGAGGGAGUCUCAACACCCUGGGGUUUGGAAGGCUGAGAACUUUUGCUUUUCUGUUUGUCUUCCGGCAACAUCUUACCUUUAAAUGAGGGAGUCUCAACACCCUGGGAUUUGGAAGGCUGAGAUAUUUUGCUUUUCUGUUGGUCUUCCAGCAAUAUCUCACUUGAUCCUUUUCUCUGCUUUCCUUUACGACGAUUUCUUUUCUUUGGAUCCCCAUAAGAUCGAUUAUUGUCACCGUCAUUAUUCUCAGGUCUUUCUGAAACACCGUCAUUGUUCUCAGGUCUUUCUGAGCCACCAUUAUCAUGAGGCAACCCUUCUUUGUGACUCUCUACAACAGUUGUUGCUCUUUCUUGAAGUUGUAUAGGUUCUCCAUUUCGAAGAGUGUGACUAUCUAACAGCGUGGAAGAUUCAAGAUUAAGCUUAUUAUCCUCCACUGGAGAAACAGGGACGUUGAUUUCCUUUUGAUUAUCAACCAUAUGCGAUACUUCUCGACCCCUGUGUAAGUCACCAUGCUGUUGAGCAAUUGCCUUGUGUUUAGAAGUCCAAUCUUGAUGACUCCAAAAGGACAGAGGCGGUGGACUCAUGUUCCACUGAUCCAUUUGUUUGUCAUUUAUAUCCACAGAGCCAGGCAAAUAAAAGGACUGAAUGGGCAAAAGACACUAGAUUAAGCCAUGAAAACCAAGUAGCAUUCUCAUUGAUAUAAUCAAAACAUCAGUUGCAAGAAAACUACAUAAAACAUUUUGUUACCUUGCCAGCGAGUAAUUCAUUAUCCUCGAAAACCAAGUCAUAUGGAGGAUUCUUUUUAUCUAACCUGGUGCAGAGGAAACACAUGAGAGAAAGACAGACUGAAGAGAGAAGGAGAGUCAACAGAAGAGAGCAGAGCAGGGCAGCAAGCAUAUUACUACAUACCUUUCAGUCUCCUGCGGAACAAUAAGGACUAGGAGUUUUGGCUUGAACUCGAGGGCCUUGUUAAUAAACUUGUUUGCGAGGGAGGCCUUAACUCCGAAAGGUGGGUUUAGCCCCAUAAUCUACUCGGACAAAGAAAAAAUGAUGUACACCAGUAUUAAAUAGUGCUAGGAUUUAAAAGUUUGUCUAUUAAGCUGCCACGAAAGGUAAAACUGAAAUGAUUUAAGCGCCAUAUGAAUAAUAUUUUGUUAGUGUGGCAAGGCACCUGAAAACUAGAAAGUAUCUAUUGUUUCAUUGUGAAUUAGCUAAAGCUUUUUCUAAUUUGAUAGUUCACAGUUCACAUUCUUAUAAACCUGAUAGCAGAAAUCUUCAAAAUUGGAAGAAUUGGUUCGAGUUUUGGCAACUCCAGUCUGAUCAUACUUUGGCCGAAAAGAAAUGGUAAGUCUACACUCUAUUGCUAUAAUUUGAACUCUGUGUAGGCACCAGAAUAGGGUCAAUUGUCAAAGUACUAUGGAACAAUGGAUAUCUGGAAAGUAUUAUGCAUCAAUAUGAAUAGCUUAUAUGCAUUAUGAAAAUACCACAACUUAUCCUCAAUUUACAGAAUAUAAUAUAAUCCCAUAAGGGCGGAAGAAAUGGCAGUAACCUUGACUUUAUUUGAGGAACUCAAUGUCGAAGGAUCUGAUCCUUAUAAUUGGGGCCUUGAGGAAUCAUGUCCAAGUUUUACUGAUUUUUUAAAUCUUAUCCAGCUUUUAAACUUGGAUGAAGCUAGAAGAUGUAUCAGAACAGUUAUUUAAACUUCCUAGCAGGUAAGUUUAUUACUUUCAAGAUUACCAAGGCAUGUCGGGAUUAUGGUGAAGGACGCCCACCAAUUGGCUAAUAAGCAAAUAGGUUCAAUUUUGUAAUGAUACUUCGAGUAAGGCUUAAUAAAUUUCCCUCUAAAUAUAAAUAAAAAUUUGUCUAUUAAAUAAUCAUGAACUAUAUUUCUCACCAAUCGUGACCCUGGUGGCAAUUCAUUCGGUUGGACACUCAUCCAGUCCCUCUGUUCGAAGUUAAAAUCAUUCUGCAAAUACAAACCCAAAAGGAUUUAUCACUCAUAACAUCCAUAUGUGUGCGUUUACCUCAACUUGUAAAACAGCUAUUCUUACAAUUUCAAGACAGAAUAACUAUUACAAUUACCCUCAAAAAAGGAAAAGACAAUUAAUCAUAUAGAUUAUCCAAUCAUUCAACAUUGGUUUUGUGUUUUGAACAGCUCUACCAAAGAUGAGAGAGAUCAUACUACCAUGAGGACCAAUAAUAUCAAACAUACUACAAUUUUAAAAUGAGAAUACUUUCACCAUGCCUUGUGAAAAAAGUGGAAUUGGAACUCUAAUCAGUCUCUGAGUUCUACCAAACUAAACACGGCGAUUAUCAAAAAAUGUAGGAUCUGAAACUGUGUGAAGCGUGAACACAUUAAUUUUCUUAUAUACUAUAUAAUUCCUCUGCUCCACAGAAAGACUCCUAUUUCACUUCCUGACGUCAAUUUUAAAAAAAAAACUAAAAUUCAAAAUUUGAUAUGAAUUCAUACUCCCUCCGUUCAAAAUUAUAUGAUUUGACUUCUUAAAAGUAAAUUUGAAAAUGGAACCCCUCAACAGCUUGCAUUCUUUUAUGGGUCGGGAAUCUUAUGGGAAGCUGUUCGCAAGGCCAGCUUGAUUUCUUCACUAGAGAUCCCAUAUGGGGGAAUCCUAGGAGAUGUUUUCUUCUUUUAGGUUCUUUUUCAGCUACCUUUUCUUGGGUUUCCCUCAAAGCAACCCCUGAUGUGAAUUCGACAAGUCGCUCCCCUUCCUAUGACGACAGUGUUGAAAGGUGCAUAUCUAGGUCUUCUCAAUUGGAGCUAAAAAGACGGGAGCUAUAUAACUAGAUUCACUUGUGUUCCAACAGUGGGAAGGCAAGGCAAGUGCUACUCCUAACUAAUGUAUCAAAUUUAAAAUUGAUACGAUUCCAUUUAUUUUUCGUCAAUACAAUAAUGAGUAUCAUAAACUAUAUAGAAAGUACUACAAAUUAUGAGAUUUAUUGUUUUUAAAACUUAAACGAAUCCUAUCAAUUUGAUAUUUGAAAAAAUGUGUCGAAUUAACUUUUAGAAAGUCGAUAUUGAUCUUAUAUUUAAAAUGGAGGAAGUAUAAAAUUUUAGUUAAUAUAAUCAGAAUUAUUGUAAACUUUAUGUUAGUUAAUAAUGGCUUAAUGCAAUCAUAAUUAUUGCAAACCAUCUAAAUGUAUAACUAGUUAUAGGAAUUAUUGUUUUCAAAACUCAUACGAAUCAUAUUAUUUUUCAAAAAAAGACUGUUUUUGUAGAACGAAACGGAGUAUUAAUUUCAUUUAAAAUAGAUAUAUUAGUACAUAUAAUAGUGGAAUAUACACAUUCUAAAUUAGCUAAGCUAUAUCAAUGACGGAAAAUUGAAAAUUCACAUAAUAAAAUCACAUAUAGUCUUAUAGACUAUAAUUACUGACUAAUGUAUCAGAACAUAAAAGGCAAAAUAAGUAAUAAGGUUGUCAACGGGGGCAGGUAUGGUCUGGGGGACCCUUCCUACACCCGCCCCACCAAUGAGUACAUUCCCCUGAAUCCGCACUGCCUCUAAAAACAAUUCCUUCAAAAAUUAAAUUCCUCUGAAUUUGACCCCCGUUUCCCUGAAUUUGUCCCCUUUUUCAAAAUUAAAUUCCUUCAAAAAAUCUUUUUACUACUUUUGUACAAAUAUUUUUAAUUUAAAAUCAAACAACAUGUGAUAGUUCUAUUACUAGUAACACCUUCUAUUAAAAAUGUUUUGAAUUUUUAAUUAAAUAACUUAAAGAGUUACAUAAUUACAUAUACAAAAGGCUAAUUCUGAAAAUAGUUAUAUAUAUAUAAUCGGGUUAAGGGCGGGGUGAGAGAGAGUAUCCAAAUACCCAAUAGGGUUUGGAAAUUCGGGUCUCUUUAGAUCCGGGAUAGGGUGGGUCCCAUUGGAGAAAUUGCAAUGCCUAGAAAUAAGGCAGCAUAUGGAACAAUAGGGAUAGGGAGAGAGAGAGGUGACAACAAAGUUUGGGUAGUAAGGACGCUAUGACGCUUUGUAUGAACUGAUUACAGAGACAAGUGUGCUCUUUCUUCGUUUCCAUUUCUUCAAUAUAUGUUUGUUGGAAAAUAAGAAUUUUCUUUAGAAUUCUUUACAAGUUAUUUUUAUUUAUACUCACAAGUUCCAUAUUUACAUGUUGACCGUUUUUUUCCUGCUUUAAAAUUAAAUUUUGAACUCCCCAACAUGUCCCAGCAAUCCCAGUAUACCUCAACAGAUCCCCAGUGUUUUCUGCCUCAUUUUAAAAAAAAAUAGGAAAGCCAAAUUUAUAUUCAAGGUUGUUUCAGCCACUUUUCUCCAAAACAUUUCAAAAUUUGGUUAUGCCCCAAUAACAUUUCAAAGCUUUACAGCUGCCACAAGUGCACUACACUCACAACAACAGGGAAGAUGACAUCUAUAAGAUAGAGAGAGAAAAUAGUCAUUUCAGAUAGUAAACAGAAAGAAAAAAACAAUUCCACCUAGAGUUAUAGAUGACAAUGUCAAAUAAUUGGUACUUGAUGACCUAGGUAUUUGUGGUUAUGAGAAGAUAGAACACACCUUUGGUUGUAUGACAUCAAAGUUUUUGUAAUAACACUUUUUCCCAACUUCAUCAAGCCUCUUUUUCAUGAGGCAGCUAAAAUCAUUCGCACCACAACAGAAGUCAACGAUCUAUUCAAACAAACAAAACAGGCAGUCAGAUAUAUGAUAUAUAUGAUGGUAUCACCUAAACUUCAUUUUUAUUUUAAUCGAAGGAAUCAUCUAAAACUUCAAGGACAUUUUCCACUGAAAUAGUGUUUGCUAUAAAGCAAUAAAGUAUAAACCAAUAUGAGUGAUUUGCACUGGUGACAUCAUGAAAUUGAACUGCAACAUUAAUACACAAACUAAUAUACAUAUGGUAAAAAACAAUAAUCAUAGACAAUGAACCACAUUAUAAUAUUGCCCAGGUACGAUAUGCAAAAACAUCGGCUCUGCCAGUCUAUGGUUGAAUUCAAACCAAUAGCAAGUUUCAAGUACGAGGAAUCAAGUUCUCUGUAUGAGGAUUCGACAAUUAAGCAAAUCUAAAAAAAAUUUGGAUUUUAGAAAAUACUAAUACUAAUACUAAUACAUUUACAUUGACUUCGUACAUUUGAAAAGUCAAGGUCCCUUCUGAAGUCGAGACUUUUGUGUGGUUUGGUUUCUGGUUUUACAAAGAUUAAAAAACUAAUGACUUUUAUCAAGGUCGCAAGAGUUAUGAGACACAUGCUCAUUUAUUUUUGCAUUGUCCUUUUGCUUGCGAAUUGUGGAGCUCUCUUUGGAGUGCUACGAGAGGAGUGUGUGUGUCUUGCAAUGGUGGAAGAUAUGUUACUAAUUCGUUUUAGAGGAUUUAGAAGUAAAAGAGAUACCAAAAUUUUAUGAAAAUGUGCCUUCUUUUCUUCUAUCCUGUGAGAAAUUUGGAAUGGGCAUAAUACUAGGUUGUUUAGAGAAAGUCUAUUAUUUAAAGUUAUUGAAUGAUAGGAUUAUUUUUCUUGCGUCUCUGUGGACUUUUGCUAUGGGGGCUUUUAGAGUUAUCUUUGUUAUUGAUUUAUAUAAAGAUUGGAGGGUUGCACUUUUUUAAGAGCUUUUAUUUUUGUUUUUGAUUUUUUUAUUUUGCUGAGGGUGGACUUCUUGUCUCCCAUUUAUUGAAUCCUUUCUUUUCUAAUAAUAAAAUUUCUUCUUUUAUCAAAAAAAAUAAUAAUACUACUAAAUAAUAAUUUUCAUAGUUGGAUCAUUAUGAUUUAGCACAUUAGCUCCAUUAGCUUAUGUGCACUAAGCAUGCUCUUGAAAACGAGAACUAUUAGUCUAUCUCCAUUGUACGAUAUAAUUCUAUCAGAGGUUCAGUCUCAAAAGGCUCAAAUUUAAUACUAUUUUUACUAAAUUUGCCUAUUACUUAAGCUCUGCUAAAUUAUCCAAAUAGACGUUUGAAGACAUGCAUAUAAUACUGGCUACUGCAGACUUGUGUUCACAUUCAAAAGUAACUAUAUUUAUUCCAAUCACAUCCAUUGACCUCAAGUUAGUAUAUGUCAUACACAUUAUACAAAUUAAAUAGCAAACAGAAUUUUCAAAACUACGUCUAAUACAGGCCGCCAUCAACUCUGAAAUGUUUAACUUCAGUUACCCCCUAAAACCUUUUUGAGUGUGGGUAAUGCCUUGCACACAACACAAUUACCUUAGAACUACUGAAAUUUUGAAAUAAAAAAUGUCAAGAAAAAUAUAUCCAAAAAUACACAACAAAGAUGAGGAUCAUAAAGGAAGCUUAAACACAAGUUGCAACAAAGAUUUUCCACUUUUUUUGAAAUUGUAUCCUUCAAAGUUUAAUGAAAUCAAUCCAAGUGAAAUGUCGGGUAUUAAAUCAAAAUAAGACAUUCUAUAUUUUUUUUUGUGCCUUGAAUCCUAUGUCCCAGCCCAAAGUAAAAUUUGUGGUGACCUGAAGGGAGAAAAAACUGAAGGUAUGAACUUUUUUCUAUUUGGAUUCAGAUUCCCUUCAUGGAUUUAGUGUUGGUCGCACAUAAAUAUGAAAGAUAUUAUGUUAUAUAGCUUAGGUAGCCAGAGAAUUGGGUAUUAUUCGGAUCAAGGUUUCAAAGAGUUUCCUUCACACUUAUUGUACUCCUUUUUUCGGUUAGUAAAUUUUUCUUCUUCUCACCGUGGAUGUAGGCAAAAGCCAAAACAGAUUUUUCUGUGUGUUUUACACCAGGACCUAGAGACUUGAAACCUACUAAAUUGACUAACACAAAUAUAUGCAAACCUUAUUAUCAAUAUUUGCAUCAAUAGCAGAAAAAAUUGAUUAAACCUUCAUCUUCUUAUUGUCUUCCAAUUUCCAAAGCUAACAAGUAAAUGAGAAUGAAUAUCAAUGAAAGAUUAGACGCUCCAAAUACUUUAAAUCUGAUGAAUCAAUAGAUUGAUAUACAAUCAGUUUUUCAGAGAAAGCAGGCAAAACAAGACUCUUAGAGACUACUAAAAGCCUUGUGCAGAGUAAGAUCGUUGAAACCAAUUUCAGUGUUCCUCGAAUUUUAAUACAAAACCCUAAACCAAAGAACUAAAUGCACGCUUUUAGAUGUAGAAGUCAAUUCUUAUAACUUCUUGUCAACUUUUUGCAAGUACAGAAAUUUCUAUCAAGCACCAAACGUGGUGCAACCCUUGUAUAAUUGGUGCAUAAGAGUUCAUCAAAAAAGUUUAUAUAAGACGAUAUUUUUUAUGGGUAACUUCCAUCUAUAAACAUUGAAGAGUAUGCAUAAAAACAAAUUUCUAUAUCUCCUAAGAUGAACGCCUGUUGAUCUCUCGGCUAAACUCCACAUAAGACCUAAAUAUAUUCUUCAAAGUUCUUUGCAUAGUCCAUUAUACCCCAAAAAAAAAAUAAAAAAAACAAACAACCACGCUAUAAUUUUAUGAUUGUAGUUCCAUAUUCAAAACACACUCGAACAACUUUUUCUAUUAGAGGGUCACAUAUACAGGAAUAUCAAAUAAGAAUUAAAACAAAUGUACAAAUUCAAGGAGAGAUAUAGAGAGCACAACUUCUCACCAUGUCACCAUCUUGAGCAUACCAAUGGAGUAUAUCAACAACCUGCACAAGGAAAAUAACAUUUUCAGAUGUCCCCAAAGCUGCCCAAAGAGUUGAAUAAUUUCAACUCCGAUCAUGUUUAUUUAUGACGUAACCAAAAUUCCAUAAUAUUCUAGUUAAGUAGUAUGGCCUUCUCACUUGAAGAAAUAGAAGCUUCAACUUGAAAACAUACUAAACCAAUGAUGUCUACUAAUUAUGUUUUGAAGAAAAACUCAAUUUAAGGUCAACAAAGUUAAAUGCAUGAAGAAAUGAUUGAAGGUUCACUUAGCUUCUUUCAUGACUUUAUUUACUUCCAUUGUUUAUAGAAAUUUACAUACAUACAUACACACACACACACACACACACACAUAUAUAUAUAUAAAAUAAGUUAUGCACUAGCAACUCAAGGAUACGAUUUGGGUAUGGCAAUACACAUUAUCCUAUGCCAUGUUGUAUAAUGGUUAGUGUUCUAAAUAUCGUUAGGCGGACCUAGGCGUCGUAGGGGGCGCCUAGGAGGACUAAGCGUUUUCUUAGAUGUUCUCAUUUAUUUAUUUUUCUAUUGUAAAUACUUGUUAUACUAUACAAAACAUAUAACAUAUAGGAGAUGAAAUUUUUUAAAAGUUAACAUGAAACAUUACCAAAAAAUAAUCUUUUAAGACUUAAAAAAAAAUCAUUGAAGUAUAAUAGAGCUUCAAAAGUAAAGGUUUGAUUCUGCCUAGGAGGCAGGUGUCUAAGCGUCCAGCCAAAUCGAGGCAGUAGAGGACCACCUAGCACCUAGGUGAGAAUAAUCGUACAUAGGCGAGAAUUUUUAGAACACUGAUAAUGGUGAAACUCUAGCCUCGCUCGAACUACUCCCUUCUCUAUUAUAAGACUAUAUAAUACAAUAUCGAAAAAUUAUAUUCCUUGAAAAUGGUUUACACGCUUCAGUGGAAUAUUAUUUGUUAUUGUAAGAUACUAAUAAUCAUUUUUAGGGUUUGAAAAUUGUCAAAUUUUCCCUCCUAUGCCAUGUUGUAUUAUGUUAAACUCUAAACUCGCUCGUUAACUACUUGUUUCUCUAUUAUAAGACAAUUCUCUAGUUUUUUCCAGCACUGGUAUACAAUUAGUUAUUGUAAGCAUAAUUGUCACGACGUCAAGGCGAGACGCAACAAUAGUUGACCGCUAGGACGCCUAGGCGUACGCCAUGUCGUCCGUAUGGCGAUAAGUCGUUAAUAAUGUGCAAUUUAUACAUUAUUUUAUUUCAAAAGUAUGUUGCACAAUAAAAUUAUAUACACUAAAACCCAAAACAUAAUAAUUAACACAGUCUCUACUCUAUUUCUAGUCAUAUCUCAAGCAAAGUCAUCAACUAUGAAGUCAUUUCCAUCUCCCUCAUGAGCAUUACUCUCGUUCAAAGGAGUAGGGUCAUGGGUUAGGUUGAGUCACUUGGAUAAUUAUGGGUUAUGAUGAGUCAUGGUAAAAAAGGACUUUAUCACUUAACUUGGGUCCGCCACCAAUGUGUGAGCCUUGUCGCCUAGACGACGCCAUGGCAACUAUGAUUGUAAGAUGUUAAGAUAUAUUUUAGGGGUCUACAAGACAUCGUAAUACUUGUAAUAAUUAUGAUUUUUUUUAUUAUUUGUAAGUAAUCAAGGUUAUCAAGGCGUUGCCGGUUGACUACUGGCAAGGCGAGGUCACACCAUAGUAAAAGGCUCAAAGGCGAGCGCUUUGGCCUUCAAGUCAUCGCUCAGGCGUCGCCUUGGGCGACUUCUUUUCAAAUUGUACACCAAAGAGAGGGAUCGUUGAGCUAGAAAAGAGGAUUUUAGAGUCUAUUAGUAAGGCACAAACCUGAUUUCAACAGAGUUUUGAUUCUCUUGUUGCCUGCACCAUUAACGAUACUUUAAAGCUCAUUCCUUUUCUUCUCCUUCAACCGAAGCUUAUUCUCUCCGUUCUCUUCCUUGUGUGGUGGUUGUAAUCUAUAAAAACCCUAAACUAUCUCCCUCCUUAUUCCCGUUAUGCCCUCUAUUGGGCUACUGUUUUUACUAUGCAGAAUUAUAGUUGAGUCUUGUUCAAAUAAAUAUCAUAAGCCCAAGCCCAAAUUCAAUUUUUCAAAACUGAUUAAAUUUUGUUUAUGUAUGAAAAGUUAUUUGUAUUAAAGGCUUCCACUUGUUUAUAAAUAUUCUCUCAAAUAUUCUUUAAGCUAGUUAUUUUGUAGAUUCCUAUGUUCCACAAAUAGUGAGAUAUUUAAUUUGCAUUAAAUUAGGUUAUCUAAAUGUUAAAAAAAUUGUGAAAUUGAUGCCAUUAAAAAUCUGUCGAGUUUCCUUCUCUAUUUCGCAAUAGAAAAUUAAAUAUAAUAUAUAAUGUUAUUUAAAAAUACUCUAAAUGUUUUAUUAAUUAUUAUUAUUAUGUCUAAAUUCUAAUUAAUUAACUAUGAUUAAUAAAAUACAAUACUCCAUUCAUCUGAUUUCAUAAGAAAUAAAAAUUGAUUAUUUAACAUGAAUUUUAUGACUUUUCGAUUAAAAUUACAUAUUAUAUUUCCUUGUGUUUCAUAUGAGAAAAGAAAAUCUAUAAUAUAAUUACAUUCAAAUAAAAGGACAAAAUCCAAAACGGAUCCAACUAAUGUGACAUAAAUUGGAAUAUAUGUUGAAUAUAUUUUUGAAGUACUAUAUAUGUAUAAUGUAAACGACUUAUCACUUUAUGAAAGACUAGGCGAACGCCCAAUCACCUAGGCAUCAGGCGCCCAGCCAUCACCUCGCUCUCCUUAACACCUUGAUAACUAUGUAAGUAAUACAGUAAUUAUGUAUUAUUAGUUCAAAUAUCAUUGAAGUUUAUGAUUGUCGAAUAAAAUUAUAUUCUGAAUGAUGGUUAAAACUUAGAUUUCAUUUAAAUUGUUUGCGUGUACUUUAUAUAGCUAGUUUCUGAUUCUCCUCUCAUGGGAAUCACAAAAAACAAGAUAUUCAUCAGUCUUAUUGAAGUGGAAAUACAGCGUUCCAUAUUCUACACUGCUCAUUUGCUGGCCUCAGUCAAAUUACGUUCCAGCAAGUGAACCCUGAAUAAGCUAGGCCCAGAAAGCAUAUCAAACUUGCAUUUUCAUGUCUAACAGUCUUGGUGACUGUAACUACUUGUGCGAUUGCAUGAGCAGUUAUACGAGUCUAACCCAAAAGUAUAUUUUGGAGGGAAAAAAACUUAACAGUAUGACUUUUGGCAUUUAAGUACAUAACCAGAAAAAUAUAAACCACAAAUGCUUCAAGGAUUAAAAUAAGGCCACACAUGGCCCUUCAAUUUAAAAUGCAGUCAAUUAACCAAUUCUUUUCAGUCCUUCAAACCACUCAAAUAACUACACUGUAAAUUGGCAGAAAAUAUUUGAGAUAGCAACUUCUGUAGACUUACCAAGCAAGAGCAAGUAUGUCUAUAACUAUGCUUAUUAUUUACUUGAGAGACAAAUAUAAAAAUAAAAAGUAACUCACCUUUUUCAGCUUGUCCAAUUUUGUAAAAUGACGACCAAAUGACGUAUAACGCAUGCCAUGUAGAAAUGGUGCAAGAUAUACUCUGAGCUUGUUCUACAGCAAUACAAAUAAAUUAAAAACAAAGAAACAAAACAAAAUGUUUUCACAAAACAUGAAAUCAAAUAACAACAAACCAAAUCCAUCCUCGAUAAUCUAUUGUAAAAGUUAAUUGACCAAAAACUCUAAAAUUAUUAAAUUAAAAACAUUCUAUUAUCGAUAUCCAUCUAGAAAAUUAUAAACAGGGUAAGGAGGUGGCCAUUUUCUGAAAACACCUAUACAUCAAAUAGAAUUAAGGGCGAAGACCUGGAAAAAAAAUAGAAGAGAAACUUCGAUUAAAAAAGUUUCAUCAAUUCGGAUAUGAGCCCUUUCAAGAAUGAGAACAAGAGCGACAAUACUCUGAUACUAUAUCACCCAAACACACUACUGAACUGUAAAGCAUAUAGUCAACUUCUCCUAGCAUAACGGGAAUUUGGAAAUCCCAGGUAUGAUUCAGGGCAUGUCCCAUCAACUCUUAUACUCUGUUAUAUAGGAGUGCUAAUAAGUUGGUAUAGUAAGUGAAUUGUUCUCUGCCUUGCUAUGUGCCUGAUCUAUAAACUUCUGAAACAUAGGCCAGCAUAAACCACUAAAUCUUCUAUCCAACUAAUUCAAUAAAAAAAGGGUGGGGAUCAAAUACGGAGACAACUUGACCGUUUAUUUCUAUCAAAAUAAAAACAACAUAUAAAAGAACAAGGGCAAACAUUAAUUGGAACAAAUGGUUAAAACUGAACAAGUACCUUCCACUUCAUCAUUUCGCUUAGAAGCCCAGGCCCACAAACAGCUUUUGCAUCUUCAAUACUGCACCCUUCUUCUAGCUUCUGUACAGCUGCACGAAGAGCCUGUAAAUGCACGGAUGGAGUCUUGUAGUAAGAAGCUUCCAGAUAUUGAAUAUAUUCAUAACUCUAUAAUACACUGAAAACAUAGGAAAUACCUCAACAGAACCCUCCACUUUCCCCAAGGUAAUGGUCUUGUCAACAGAAUUUUUUGAUGAGUAUGCAUGUGUCGUUGGCACUUUGUGUUUUUCAUUGAUCUCUGCCAGAGUUAUUGAAGAUGUAGCAUCUUUCAUCAAAGCCAAUAUUCUGCAUUAAAAUAACAGAUGUCAAUACUCAAUACAUGACUCAUCUACUUCAUGCACCACCACUUCAACCAUAUUCUCCAGUCCAAGCUUGUACAGCAAAACCAUCUUAGGGUUUUAGAUAUUAAAAAUAAUAAUAAUAAAAUAACAAAAAGAGAGAGAUGAGAGGGGGGGAGAUUUUAUGGAAUCAAAAGAAGUCACCUCUUCUCUGACACAGCAUCCAGAGGCGGCAAAUUGCUUGUUUCCUUGGCAACAGACUUAACAGCAUAGGUCUGAUCAUGCUCACCAUCAGCUGCAUCAUUCUUUCUAGGCUUAAUGGGCUCAGAACCCUUACUAACCAAGGCAUAUAACCUGUUCCCCAGGGAAGUCUUGUUUUCAUCUGGGGAGGACUUGAACUUUGAGGAAGUCUUGCUCAAAGGCUUCCGAGAAAUAUCCAUUAAUUUAUGUUUCUUUGAAGAAUCCUUCCCAAUAACAAUGCCAUCACUCUUUUUAGGAAAAUUACCCCGUUUUAUAGUGACUGACAACUUAUCCCUGGUUAUCGGUGGUUUCACAUAAGUUUUCAUCCUGGAGGCAUCUUCUAAGACUAGAGAUUUCUUCUUUAAUAUGACUGUCUCUUUUCUUGACUGCAUCUCUGAUGCUUGCUUUUUUUUCUUCUCUUCACCCGGGAAUUUUAUGUGGUUUCUUAUAGGAGUUAAAAGAUCAUCGUCAAUCUCAUGUUCUCUGACAAGAAGGAAAAGUAUUAACUUUCCAAACAAAGGUAAUUAAUCACUCGCUAAAGUAAGUCAUAAUUUUCUAAUUACAGAAUAUGAAAUCAUGGAUGGCAACUGCACUUACAAGCAAUAUAUCAAUAUACGUUUCUUUGGCAUAAGUUUUUCCCAAGCCCUUGGUAUGAUGUCCACAUCCUCUGGAUCGUCAAAACAAAUUUCCCUGGUCAAAGUUACUAAAUCAUCAACUAUCCGCAUACACUCACUAAGGUUAGAUAAAAAAGAUACUGUUAAAAACAAAAAAUAGGAUAAAGAAUGUAGGGAGUACGUGGGCAAACACUUCCUAUGGUAUGACUUUGGACAACGUCUGCACAUUGCAAACCGCAAGUCCGGAUGCUGCUCAGUUUCUGUCUGUUUACAGACACAACAUUUAUGAAAAGGACAUGUGAAUGAUGCCCCAUUAUUUAUCUUCUUUUCCAGCUCUUCCGCAUGAGAUUCGCUGUCAGGGUGUAGCAGCUUUGAAACACAACGUGGAUGAUAAAACCGACCACAUUCUCCAGACACACAGCGGAAGACCUAAAUAGCAAUGAAGAUAAAUAUAUAGAAAUCUACUAGCAUAAAGAUUGAAUUCAGAAUUCCUAUUCACAAAGACCACAAAAAAAUCCACUGCAAAUUGUGUAGACAGGAGAACAACAAGAUAUGGAUCGACCACCGUAGUGAUUAUAAAAAUUUCAAUCACUAUCAGAGUAAUCUAUGUUAUGAACAUAGAUUUAACUGCAAUGCAACCACAUACAGGUUACAAGACUUGCAUAUAAUCAUUUAUACUAUAUGAUUCUAUGCUACCCCUUGCUUUCGCCACCUAUACGAUUAGGUCACUUCUUCACGUUCUAUUAUGCCUACGUGGGAUUCUUUUAAUUUUCUUUCAAACUAAUAUGUUCCCAAUCUUUCACAAAUUUUCUUACAAUCUCCAUCACCAUCUUCAGAUUCCAUUUUUUUUAAUCAUUAAUUUUAGGAUUCCACUGUAGUUUUACUCUUUCUCACUUACUAUACAUGAAUACAUAUACACCAUGUGUGUGGGUGUUGUGUGUAUAUGAACAAAUUACUACUAUAAAGUAUAAAACAGGAAAAAGUUAUUUAAGUACUAUUUCUCCUCCGAUGAACUUCAAAUUUUUAAAAACAACAUUAUUAUAUGCAUCAUGUAUAGUUGGGGAAAAGAAACCUUCAAUAUUUGUCUUUCUUAGUAUACAAUAGAUUUUGUACAUUAUGCCUAAUAUUGAAUUAAAGUGUCAUUUCAUUUGAUUUAACUAGCAAAAUAAGAA
rnacentral:lncRNA from 1 species